rnacentral:siRNA from 1 species
UUGUUAGGUGUGCAUUUGAUG